rnacentral:misc_RNA from 1 species
AAGUCGUAACAAGGUUUCCGUAGGUGAACCUGCGGAAGGAUCAUUACAAGUGAGCUGGUGACCGCCGGAAACGGCGCUCUCCCGGCUACACCCACCCGUGUCUAUAUACUCUUGUUGCUUUGGCAGGCCGUGGUCUUCCACUGCGGGCUCAGUUCGUACGUGCCUGCCAGAGGACCAAACUCUGAAUAUUAGUAAUGUCUGAGCACUAUUUUAAUAGUUAAAACUUUCAACAACGGAUCUCUUGGUUCUG